rnacentral:rRNA from 1 species
UACGGGGGGGGCAAGCGUUGUUCGGAAUUACUGGGCGUAAAGGGCUCGUAGGCGGCCAACUAAGUCGGAUGUGAAAUCCCUCGGCUCAACUGAGGAACUGCCUUUGAAACUGUCUGGCUUGAGGCCGGGAGAGGGUAGCGGAAUUCCCAGUGUAGCGGUGAAAUGCGUAGAUAUUGGGAGGAACACCAGUGGCGAAGGCGGCUACCUGGACCGGUUCUGACGCUGAGGCGCGAAAGCGUGGGUAGCAAACAGG